CCCUACGGGGUGCAGCAGGCGCGAAACCUUUACAAUGUGCGAAAGCAUGAUAAGGGAACUCCGAGUGCCAGUAUCUAAUACUGGCUGUCCUUGUGCCUAAAACGCACAAGAUAGCAAGGGCCGGGUAAGACCGGUGCCAGCCGCCGCGGUAACACCGGCGGCCCGAGUGGUAGCCGCUAUUAUUGGGUCUAAAGGGUCCGUAGCCGGUUCGAUAAGUCCUCUGGGAAAUCUGGUUGCUUAACAAUCAGACUGCCAAGGGAUACUGUCGAACUUGAGACCGGGAGAGGUAAGAGGUACUUCAGGGGUAGGAGUGAAAUCUUGUAAUCCCUGGGGGACCAUCUGUGGCGAAGGCGUCUUACCAGAACGGGUCUGACGGUGAGGGACGAAAGCUGGGGGCGCAAACCGGAUUAGAUGCUCGGGUAGUCCCAGCCGUAAACGAUGCUCGCUAUGUGUCAGGUACGGUGUGACCGUAUCUGGUGCCGUAGGGAAGCCGUGAAGCGAGCCACCUGGGAAGUACGGCCGCAAGGCUGAAACUUAAAGGAAUUGGCGGGGGAGCAC
rnacentral:rRNA from 1 species